GAUUAACGCUGGCGGCGUGCAUAACACAUGCAAGUCGAACGAUGAAACUUUAAUGAACCCUUCGGGGAGAAUUAAAGCGGAUUAGUGGCGAACGGGUGAGUAACGCGUGAGUAACCUGCCUUACACAAGGGGAUAGCCUUUGGAAACGAAGAAUAAUACCCUAUAAAACCAUAAAAGCACAUGCAAUUAUGGUCAAAGUGAUAGCGGUGUAAGAUGGACUUGCGUCUGAUUAGCUAGUUGGUGAGAUAAAAGCCCACCAAGGCAACGAUCAGUAGCCGGCUUGAGAGAGUGUACGGCCACAUUGGGAAUGAGACACGGCCCAGACUCCUACGGGAGGCAGCAGUGGGGAAGUUUGCACAAUGGGGGAAACCCUGAUGCAGCGACGCCGCGUGAUUUAGAAGGCCUUCGGGUUGUAAAAAUCUUUUGUAUAGGAAGAAAAUGACAGUACUAUACGAAUAAGGUCCGGCUAAUUACGUG
rnacentral:rRNA from 1 species